AACGCACAUUGCGCUUCCGGGCAACUGGGAGCAUGCUUGUUUCAGUGUCUGUAACACCCCUCAAACCCCACCCGGUUUGGAGUAUGGGCCCUCCGAGCGCAUGCGCUUGGUGGUCUGAGGUCACUGACCAGUAACCGUUGGUACACGACACGCUGUCAAGGCUUGACCGUGAGCUCCCCCUGUGGGUGACCGUGGACCCUGUGCGCUAACGUGCCUGGUGUGGUGGGUGGCUCUCGCAACCACCCCUCCGAAACACCCGUCGGGCGCCUCAACCCCGCCCUUCCGUAUCGGACCUGAAAUCAAGUAAGAAGACCCGCUGGACAUA
rnacentral:misc_RNA from 1 species